GUAAGCUGACGUAUAGGGGCUGACGCCUGCCCGGUGCCGGAAGGUUAAGUGGAGCGGUGCAAGCUGUGAAAUGAAGCCCCGGUAAACGGCGGCCGUAACUAUAACGGUCCUAAGGUGGAAUCGCUGCCUUAGUAAAAUCUGGCUAUAUGCUGGAAUCUCCGAUGUAUCUCGCGCUACCGGCUCAACGCGACCGGUGACAAUGUGACGAGUGCGGACAAUCAGCAGGAAAGGCUCAUCGCGCAUCGAUGAGAAUCCUCAGAGGCCAUACGCCAGACGCCUGAGUGAUCAGGCGAUGAUAUGGUCCCAUCUGCAUGGCGACAUGCAGGGAGGUGAAAACUGAACCACCUCCGCCUGGCCAGGCCAGGUAAGACACAGAGCGAAAUUCCUUGUCGGGUAAGUUCCGACCCGCACGAAUGGCGUAACGAGAUGGGCGCUGUCUCGGCCACGUACUCGGCGAAACUGAAGUACCUGUGAAGAUACAGGUUACCCGCAGCAGGACGGAAAGACCCCGUGGAGCUUUACUACAACCCGCCACUGAGAUGGGGUCUAGCAUAUAGAGGAUAGCUGGGAGACUGCGAAGCGUGGUCGCUAGACUGCGUGGAGUCAACCUUGGAAUACCAGCUUUGCUAGACUUUAUUUCUAACCGAGACCGUUAUCCGGUUUCGGGACCGUGGCAGGCGGGUAGUUUGACUGGGGCGGUCGCCUCCCAAAAGGUAACGGAGGCGCCCAAAGGUUCCCUCAGCCUGGAUGGAAAUCAGGCCUAGAGAGUGUAAUGGCACAAGGGAGCUUGACUGUGAGGCCGACAAGCCGAGCAGGGACGAAAGUCGGGCAUAGUGAUCCGACGGCUCUGAAUGGAAAGGCCGUCGCUCAACGGAUAAAAGCUACCCCGGGGAUAACAGGCUGAUCUUGCCCAAGAGUUCACAUCGACGGCAAGGUUUGGCACCUCGAUGUCGGCUCGUCGCAUCCUGGGGCUGGAGUAGGUCCCAAGGGUUGGGCUGUUCGCCCAUUAAAGCGGUACGCGAGCUGGGUUUAGAACGUCGUGAGACAGUUCGGAUCGUAUCCGCUGUGGGCGCAGGAGAUUUGAGGAGAGCUGACCUUAGUACGAGAGGACCGGGUUGGACGGACCGCUAGUGCACCAGUUGUUCUGCCAAGAGCAUCGCUGGGUAGCCAUGUCCGGAUGGGAUAAGCGCUGAAAGCAUCUAAGUGCGAAGCCCACUCCAAGAUAAGAUCUCCCACCGGAUAACCGGGUAAGACCCCAGAGAGACCAUCUGGUUGAUAGGCCGCGGGUGUAAGAGAGGUGACUCUUUGAGCUGAGCGGUACUAAUCGGUCGAGGGCUUGACCUC
rnacentral:rRNA from 1 species